rnacentral:rRNA from 1 species
AAACCAACCGGGAUUGCCUCAGUAACGGCGAGUGAAGCGGCAAAAGCUCAAAUUUGAAAUCUGGCACUUUCAGUGUCCGAGUUGUAAUUUGUAGAAGUAGUUUUGGGACUGGUCCUUAUCUAUGUUUCUUGGAACAGGACGUCAUAGAGGGUGAGAACCCCGUAUGAUGAGGCCCCCAGUCCUUUGUAAAACGCUUUCGAAGAGUCGAGUUGUUUGGGAAUGCAGCUCUAAGUGGGUGGUAAAUUCCAUCUAAAGCUAAAUAUUGGCGAGAGACCGAUAGCGAACAAGUACAGUGAUGGAAAGAUGAAAAGAACUUUGAAAAGAGAGUGAAAAAGUACGCGAAAUUGUUGAAAGGGAAGGGCAUUUGAUCAGACAUGGUGUUUUGCGCCCUUUGCUCCUUGUGGGCGGAGGAUACGCAGCUCACUGGGCCAACAUCAGUUUUGGGAGCAGGAUAAACUCUGUAGGAACGUAGCUUUCUUCGGGAAGUGUUAUAGCCUACGGGAAUACUGCUACCUGGGA